AUGGAGGCACAAAGGUAUUGCUGCAAGGGGACCCCCGGGGAGCCCUGCUAUGCCCCUGCCCCGGGCAGGAGGGUCCCCAGCGUGUCCCCAAGCCCUUUGCGUCCCCUCCCUUACCUCAGCACCACUCUCAGGCGUGUAUCUCUGCCCACCGCGGGGCCCUCUUGCUUCUCUCCGGGGCUCCUUUGGGAAACAGAGGGCAGCGGGGUGGUGGGUGCCCCCCCGGCUGGGGGACCUCCCCACGGGCACCCCAAGGGCUGGGUAGAGGGGACCACGGUCACACUGUGCUUGUGCCAUCCUCCACUCCCCGCUGUGCCCUGGGGCCUGGCAAGGAACAGAGCACAACUUCCCCCCAAGUCCCCGCAGAGGGACCGUCCUGUUCCCCCCCCCCCGGCAAUGUGCCCAUUUUUUGGGGUGCCAGCCCCCCACCGGCUGUGUCGGCCGGGCGGUCACUGCCGAGGCCCUGCCUGCCGCAGUCCUGGGGUGGCUUCCGUCCCCUCCGGCUCCCCGCCAACUUACGGUCUCUCCUGGCCCCAUGGGAGCGUUUUAGGCCGUGUGCCCGACUGGGGUUCCCACUCCUGCUCUCCCUCCGGCUCCAUUCGCCCCCCGCCCCAGCACCCCUCGCUCAGGGUGCCCGCAGCACCCGGCCGGUCCCGGCGGGAGCCACCUCCAGCCAGCCUGGGCUGCCCCGCACAACAGGUACCACCGCUCCGGUUAAACAUUGACCGGUGCCAGCCCCGUGGGAGAGCGGCCACGGCACGGUGGGGGACGAGGCAGGGCGGCGGGGGGGGUGGUGGGAGGCAGGCGGUGACACCUCGGCCAUGGGAGCCGGGCAGUGGGGUGCAGGGAGCCCCGAAAUCCUGCACUUGCUGGGGGUCCCCCGACCCACUGGCCCCCGGCGCCCCCCUCCGAGCCCUGGGAUCCUCACGGGGCCCACCGUGCCUCGACACAGUGGGGUGGGAUGGGGUGGGGGGAGACCAGUACGGGCAGCUGGUGGGAUUACUGGUCCCCGGGGGAUGCUGGGGGAGACCGUCGCCGGAGCGGCCGGGGCUUUGGGGGUGCUGCCGUCGGGGGGCGCGGAGCGGGGACCGGCCCCGGGAGCCGCCGGGGAAGGACGGGGGGGGGGGGCAGCACCGCCCGCUCGGGGCGGUCCCAGCCCGCCGGGGUCGGGGCGGGGGGGGGGGGGGGGGGCGGAAUAAAAGCCGUGGCUGCGGCGGCGGGGCCGGGGGAGCCGGGCAGGAUGAGCGCGGCCCCGGGCACCUCCCGCACCCCCCAGCCGUUGCUCCGCUUCCCCGACGGGGCGGGCGGGCCGGGCGGCGGGCGGGCGGUGGGGGGGGUCCGCGCCCCGGGGCCGUGUCCCUGUCCCUGUCCCUGCCCGGGGGGGCCUCGGAAGAGGCGGAGGACCACGUUCAGCCGGGGACAGCUGUCGGAGCUGGAGCGGGCCUUCGCCGCCGUCCCCUACCCGGACAUCGCCACCCGGGAGCGCCUGGCCGAGCUCACCCAGCUGCCCGAGGCCAAGAUCCAGGUCUGGUUCCAGAACCGUCGCGCCCGCAGGAUCCGCAGCGCCAAACCGGAGCCGCCGCCGCUACCGCCGCUGCCACCGCCCGGGGAACGGGGUUCCCCCGCUGCACCCCCCGACGGCACCGGCCCGGGACCGGCCCCUGCCCUGCCUCCGCCGGGAGCCCGCAGCCCCACUCGGGGCCUCCCCACCUCGCUGGGCUCCAUCUCCGACCUCAUCUACAGCGCAGCCAUCACCAACCUGGGCGAGCCGUAGCCGUGGCCGGGACCCCCCCCCGGCACCGAGGACCCCCCCAGCUUAGCGCCACGAUUUCAUUAGGGUGUGGAAUUACUGCUGGUCCCGAAGGUCCCGAGAAUGUCAUCCAAUAUCCUAAAUGCCGGUGCGGCCGUGGCAGGGCCAGCUCCCCAUCAGCCCCCUAA
rnacentral:lncRNA from 1 species